rnacentral:rRNA from 1 species
AUGAACGCUGGCGGCGUGCCUAAUACAUUCAAGUCGAGCGAACGGACGAGAAGCUUGCUUUUCUGAUGUUAGCGGCGGACGGGUGAGUAACACGUGGAUAACCUACCUAUAAGACUGGGAUAACUUCGGGAAACCGGAGCUAAUACCGGAUAAUAUUUUUAACCGCAUGGUUCAAAAGUGAAAGACGGUCUUGCUGUCACUUAUAGAUGGAUCCGCGCUGCAUUAGCUAGUUGGUAAGGUAACGGCUUACCAAGGCAACGAUGCAUAGCCGACCUGAGAGGGUGAUCGGCCACACUGGAACUGAGACACGGUCCAGACUCCUACGGGAGGCAGCAGUAGGGAAUCUUCCGCAAUGGGCGAAAGCCUGACGGAGCAACGCCGCGUGAGUGAUGAAGGUCUUCGGAUCGUAAAACUCUGUUAUUAGGGAAGAACAUAUGUGUAAGUAACUGUGCACAUCUUGACGGUACCUAAUCAGAAAGCCACGGCUAACUACGUG